AAAGACACACAUAAACACUCAAAGACACACAACCAUACAUAUCAUACAAGAUAAAUCUGAGCAGUACAUUUUAUUGUUGAUGAAAAGCCUGUUUAGGGCUCUUUCAGUUAAUUCUUUUCAUGUUCUGUUUUGUUUGAUGGCAGAGACGCCAUCAAAUAAAGAAGGGGUAGAUGUAAAGCGGUGCAUAAAUGUUCCAAAAGGGGGUGCUGUUUUCUGCAAUUCCUGGCACUACCGCAAUUCUAACAUGUUUGUCCUGCUGGGGACACCGUAGUGCAGGGGAUUUUUUGUGCGCGAACGCUGUAUUCCUUACAGUGUGUUUACUGCCUGUAAGGUGGACGAAAUAAACGCGCCAAGGUCUCCCCACAACUAAGAGCCCUGUGUCCAGUUCCUCUUCUGCACGGAACACAUCCCACCUUCACCCAAAA